GAUGAACGCUGGCGGCGUGCUUAACACAUGCAAGUCGAACGAUGAAGCCCAGCUUGCUGGGUGGAUUAGUGGCGAACGGGUGAGUAACACGUGAGUAACCUGCCCUUGACUCUGGGAUAAGCGCUGGAAACGGCGUCUAAUACCGGAUACGAGCUUCCACCGCAUGGUGAGUUGCUGGAAAGAAUUUCGGUCAAGGAUGGACUCGCGGCCUAUCAGGUAGUUGGUGAGGUAACGGCUCACCAAGCCGACGACGGGUAGCCGGCCUGAGAGGGUGACCAGCCACACUGGGACUGAGACACGGCCCAGACUCCUACGGGAGGCAGCAGUGGGGAAUAUUGCACAAUGGGCGCAAGCCUGAUGCAGCAACGCCGCGUGAGGGACGAAGGCCUUCGGGUCGUAAACCUCUUUUAGCAGGGAAGAAGCGAAAGUGACGGUACCUGCAGAAAAAGCACCGGCUAACUACGUG
rnacentral:rRNA from 1 species